UGGAAAAUCUCUCUCACUCUCUCACUUCCCCAUUUUCGUCCAUCUCCUUUCUCCCUCAUCUCUCUCUUUCCUCCAUAACCACCAUUGAUGAAGACCACAAAAGCUUCAUAGAUUCAUACCAAGAGCUCAAAUCCACCACUAAAUCUAGCCUAAACACCUUCUAUCUCCUAGAAUUCAAGAGAUCCAUGGAAGUUUAGUCUUGGAGUUAGAAAGAGAAAGUUUGGUUCUUGGUGUGAGCUUGGGUCCGGGCGACAGGAAGUGAAGCCGAAGAAGAAGCAACUCCACGCUAGCUUAAGAACGUUUGAGGUUGAGCAGCUGAUGGAAUGGAAUGGUGUUGAGUGGGUGUUCCUUUGAUCAUUUCAAGAAAUGUAACCUUGAGUAUACAUCUUCAUAUGUAUAUCUCACACGUUUUCCGCUGCAAAACACUUUGAUUAGGAUAACUCUAUGUUAUGAAGUUGUGACACGUGAUAUUGGGUAACCCACCUUAAUCAGUUCUCCUUUAUGUGUAUGUGUUAUAAGUAUCCAAAUGAUCAUAUAUGAUCCUAGCAUUUUAUCUAUGAGUGACAUUUCCAUAUACUUUAAUGUUAAGUAAUUAUCCAUUUCCGUUCCCA